UUUACAUAUGAAAAAAUUCAUUCUUUAUUAAAAAUUUAAAAGAAAAUUUAAUGGUCAAGCCAAAACCAAAAGAUGUGAAUUCAUUUACUAAACACUCAUUAAAAGUACAUUCUCUGAACUGAGACUAUAAAAACCAAUUAGACAUUAUCAUAAAACACCUACAGCACUUUAAUUCAUAUCUCUAUUAUUAUCAUGUAAAGGAAGUGCAGAUUAUUGGAAGGUUGGUCAAUAACUUAUAUUUAAAAGUUAUCAACUUAUUCAGCUGCUUCUUUUUUUUUUUCAGCUGCUUCUUUUCUUUCCCAUACCCAUUUCUCUAUUUUAUGGUCAAUUAGAUGGUCAUUAAAAGUCAUUAUAAACCCAUAUACACAUAUCCAUUCUCUUUCAGAUUCUUUUCCUCCAUAGAUUAUCACAGAAUACUGGGUAGAGUUCUCUGUGCUAUAUAGAAGGUUCUCCAUAAUUUUUUUUUUUUGUCUUUUUGUCUUUUUUAGGGCCACUCUCACGGCAUAUGUAGGUUCCCAGACUAAUUGGGGGUGGAAGCUGCAAAAUUCUGCAGAGUAUUUCUCAACGCAGUUUUCUUGGUGUGUUAAAUGCAGGGCAUGGCAAAAAUGAGGCCUGUGUGUACGUCAGCCAAAUUUUUCACAUGGAAUUCUGUCUCUAACAACAAACAGACUGAUUAAUAUUUUAAUAGGAAAGCCCCCUAAGGAAAGCAGGUGGUUCCUGGCGCACACGGUCUCAGAGUCUGGGUUAUCCUAAGCAUACAUUCCUUCAUCUUAAUCAAGCGAGGAGCCAAAGUACAGACUGUCCUUUAUGGAAGCAUGAUUUCAUUUUUAUAAAGGAAAGAGGGUGAAAUGACUAGUUUUUAAUGAAAACUAAACAUUAAAAUAUUGGUAAUUACCCUGCUUCAAAAUUUUCAUUAGAACUAGACUUUUACAUACAGUGAGACUUAUUGGAGCAAAAAAUAAAUUUUGCAAUUAAAUAUACUCAGUACUUUGUAGUGACUAGAGUAUGAAUAACUAGAAGAAAACUUUUCUCCUUUAUCCAUAAUAAUAGGGUGACCUGUGAAUUUUAUUUUGGAUUGUUAUGCCAUCAAAUUAGAAAUCAGAAAAGUUUAUUUACAUCAACUCAAUUUCAGCACAAAACUAUUAUUUCAUACAUUGCAAAAUCUGACUAUUGCAUAUCUGGAUACAUAUGUAGAUAAAACUGAUGGUCAGUCUUCAAAAGUGAUCUCUCCUCAAGUAAUGGCAUAUCAUUGUUAAUUAUUAAUAAUUUCCAGUACUCAAAUUGCUGCCAUUGAUAUUUUAAUCUACCCAAGUUGCUAGCUCUAGUUAGCUUCGUAUUGAUGCAUGUAAAUAUUUCUAACAUCUUGUUUUGAAAUUUUAUUUAAACAUUUUGAAUCUCAUUGCUUGCUUUUAAUAAAGUAUUCACAUAUUAUUGGUGUGAAUGACAAUUUGCAAAUUUUAUAGCCCUGUGAAUAGAAAACUGGUCAUUCCAGGACAAUUACCAUGAAUCACUGGGGGAAGGAAAAAAAAAGAUUUCAGCAUUAUCACCAAUUAAGGAAAGAGCAAUAAUUAAUAUCCAUAGGUGUAUUCAUUUUACAGAUUAUCUAGCUAAUAGAGAGCAGAUGUUGAAGAAAAAGGGCCUGAUGCAGCUAAAUCUGCUAAGAUCAAGGCCUAGAAGGCGGGUACAGAAGCAGACCUUGCAGAACAUGAGAGCUAUGGAAUUGACAAUGUGAUGGGCAUGGCAAAAAGCUGCUGAAAGUGACUGUAUCCUACUUCACACAUUUGCCUACAGUCAGUAUUAGCUGCCCUAAUCACUUCUGGCCCAGACAAGUCUCACUGCCACUUCAGUCGCUUACUCAGCCAAACCCGAGUUUCUCACCCUUGGCACUGGUGACAUUUGAGGAUGGCUAACUCUUUGUUGUUAAGGAUGGGGAGGAUGGAGGCUGUCCUAUGCACUCCAGAUGUUUAGCAGCAUCUCUGGUCUUUACCCACUAGAUGACAACAGCAACCUCCACCACCAUGGAGGACAAUCAAAAAUGUCUCCAAACUUGCCAAAUAUCUCUUGGAGGGUGUAUAAAAUUAACCUCACCUGGAACCACUGAUCUAGACGAAACCUAGAGAUGCUUUAUCUGGAUCACUCAGACAAUCCUAAGCACUUAUAAACCCUGAGAACUAUCUAAUUUAAUCCUUUCUCUGCAACAAGAAUCCCUUCCUGUAAUGACAAUAAAAGAUCACUGUACAGCUUUUGCUUAAGAAUCUCCAAGAAUGAGAAACACUUAACUUUACCAUCUAACCAAACAUAUUUUUUGGACAGCUCUACUUGAAAAAUCCUCCUCACUAAUGCAAAGACAUCAGCCUUUCUCUAAAUUAUACCUGUAAUUCUUAGGUUCAUAGAAAAUAAAUCUUUCUUCUACAAAACCAGUCCUUCAAAUAUAAGACGAUAACCUCUAUACCUGGAUUGCUUUGUAGGUCAGAACUACAAUGGACACAAAACAAGUUAAAGCAAUAUUUUAGGUACUAAAUGGUCACCCAAGCUGUCCGACGGAAGAAAAGGGAAACUGCACUAUCUCCCAGCUCCAGAAAGGUCCACCCUUGGGUCAUAUAUGUAUUUAUAGCAACAUUUAUAAACAUUUUUAUUUUUUCAUUUAAACCUUCAUAUCCUCAAAAAAUACACCUAUAACAUGUAAUAAUUUUUACUUUUCUAAUUAUUCCCUAUUCAUUUAAAUAGGCAGUUUCUGAUAAAGAUUGUUUUUAAUUUUUUUAAAAAAUCUGCUUCCCUCCUUGGUGUACUGAUAUGUCUCGUUCAAUACACCAAAAACUUUGAAUUUUGCUCUUUUACUAUAUUCAGUGCUUUCUUAGAUGUAAGUUAGAACUUAAUUUAUAGAAUUUUGGGUUUUGUGUAUAAUUGAUGCUUUCAAUUUGGGGUUGCCAAGUCUAGAAUAUGUUUUUAAAGUAUCUGACAAAAUCAAAGCAUACAAAUUCCCCAUUUAAAAAAUAUAUUCUAGAAAUGGCUUAAGGCAAAAAUACUUUUAUAAAGCCUUAAAUCAUUUGUGUUUUAACUGCAUAAUUAACCUCACAUAUCCCAAACUCAGCUAGCCAACAAAUCUAAUUACCUAAAAUGGAGGUUUUGUUUUUUAAGCCAAGAAACUCUUUGUUCAAACAACAUCAAACCUGCAAAAACUACACGUAAAAUAAAUGAACGCAGGUACCACUUUGUCUCCCAUACCCAUGCUAGUUACUCAGAAGCUCUGCAAAACGCUGGGAAUAUGUGGAGAACAUGUUAGAAAACAGUAUCUUGGCACACAGUAGAGAGGAAAAAAAGCUCAGAGACUGGAAAGAGAUGCCACAACUACAACGCACUUAAUCUGUAGAACAUUUCAGGUCCUCUCUCAAUGUAAGUCUGUCUCUUGGUUUACAUAUCACUGCAGCAACGUAAAAUUAAGCAGUUUUUCAAAAACACAGUAGCAAAUUCAGCAUAGGAGGAAAAGGGAAGAAAGGGAACGCUAGUGGGGGGCAUAAAAAAUAUUAGUGAAGUAAUAACUGAAAGUAACUAAAAAAAUUGGCAAGAACCAGAUAUUGUUUACAAAGUUGGCUUCAAUGAUUGCUCCCACCCCUGUAUGCAAACCCCCAUGCAAGGGAUUUUGUUGCUUUGCUUGUUAGGGUUAGAGAUGGAGACUAGUCCUCCUCCCUUCCUGGGGAAGUCCUAUGAUUUGCUUUCACCAACACUAUGUGGCAAAAGUGACAGUGUAUGACUCCCAAGUCUAGUCUCCACUCUCACCUCUUGGAACACUGAGCCCAUUACAUAAAGAAGCCCAAGCUAGUCAACUUGAAGAUGAGAGAUCAGGAAGAGAGAGCAGCAAAUGACUACCUCAACGUCAUCUAAGACCAUGAAGUGCCAAACAAGGCACCAGGAGACUGUAGUUGUGUAACUGAUCCCAGGAGACGUCAGCAGGAGAACUGCCAGGCUAAUAAGCCCAGACUAAACUACAGGUGCCCAGAAUCAUAAGCAAAUAAAACUCCACUAUGUUUUGGAGUGGUUCAUUAUACAACAAUUGAUAAUAAGUAACGAAAUAAAAAAUUAACAGUCAUCUGGAGAUGACUGAGUGUAGACUCAAGAGCCCUACACAGAUUGAUAGGUCCUAAAUGUAUACCCACGGUAUUAUAAAAUAGUUCAUAUUAAUCAUGAAUUACUUAAGUGGUGUUUAAUACAUUCUAAUUAAGAAAGAGAUAUGUGACAUCUUUUAGAAAUAAUUUAAUCUAAAAUCAUUUAAAAUAUGUGAAUGAAUCCAAAACUUAGAGAAGACUUGGGGUUUUGCAUUACUUAAUAGCAAUGGAUUCUACUGGCAUUAGAUAUAGAGUAGAAAUUAUAAUAGGUAAUAGAAUAAAACAUUUUAGCACCUACAUUUCUAUAUAUUGCAACAAUGUUGAAUAGAAAGUCAAUUAUGGCUAUAUAAAACCUAGAACAUACUUUUUAAUGACCUAAUAAAGAUGCAUAUUUUGGCUGCUAACACAUUUUUAUCCAAUACUUUAUUCAAAACAUUGGCUGAAAAAUGUCUUAUAACUAAACAGUUGUUAAAACAGAAGAAAUUCAGCAGAAGUGAACCAUAGCUUCAGUCUUUCCUUCCCACAACAUUCCACAGUGAUGUAAUUUAGGGGGGAAUGUUUAAAUACUUAAAAUAAAACUAUUUAAUUAAGCAAACACCAUAAUUACUAGCAUAUAUAUUUUUUGCCUCAUAACCUGGUGCUGGAACCAAAAGAAAAUACGAAAAGUCUGAUCUUCAUAGGUAGUAUGUUUUCCUUAAGGAAAACUCUCCUUCACUCGAUAGUCUAUAGCAUAGCCUACAAGGAAGUAACUUCCCAAUACAGUUCUUCAGUGAAUAAGACUUAGCAGACCUAUUAUGAAUCCUACUUUAAGUACACAGAAGUCUGAAAAAAGUCUGGUUUUCACUGGCAAGGUACCUGGAGAAGAUGACCUGGUGGCCCCACAAGUCCCCAGCAGGACUGUAUGACACUGAGGAUUCAACAGAGUCUAUGACAGAGCUUCUCCACCUUUUAGGGUUCUCAGAGAUCUUGGAAUUAGGACUCAGAGGAACACACAGGCCAGCAAUGGUUACAACUACUGCUACAAUAGAAAGCAAUGUCUCACAGUUCCCAUAAAAGGAUUCAUUCUUAGUCUCACUGCAGGUACUUAAAACUCUACUUUCCUGCAUCCCAUCACUAUGGAAUGUUAUAGGAAGGAAAGACUUAAGUCACAGUUCACUUACACAGAAUUUGUGCUGCAACUGAACAGCUAUAAGAUCUUUUUUUGCUACCAUUUAGAAAAGGACAAUAGAUGUGAUAUCAGCCAAAAUAUGCACAGUCAUUAAAGACUGUAUUCUACAAAAAAUACAAAGAAAGUCCAAAGAGAACAGGAAGAAACAUGUGGAGGUUAAGGCAGGUUUAUGGCGCUGAUUGUGGUGAUGGUUUCACAGAUGUACAUUUAUCCCCAAAUUCAUCAAGUUUUUUGCCUUAAAUAUGCACAGCUUUUAAAUGUCAAUCACACCUCAAUAAAGUGUUUUUUAAAUAAAGCGUAUUCUAUGUUUUAUAUGGCCACAGCAGACCUAUUCAACUGAUUAAAUAUUCAUUCUACUCACUCCUUCUACAAAAACUUACUGUACUACCAUGCCGGGGUCUAGGACAGGACAACAGACACAGUACCUUCAAGUGUGGAAGCUUGAAAUGUGCUCUUUUGUAGUCCCUGAGCAUAACCAGAUAUGCCUGUGUACAGUCAUUUACUCUCAAGGACAAGUUCUCAAAUGGCCCAGAAAUCUUUCCCUGCUGCUGGCUUCUCAUUACCUUCAGAGGUAUCCCGGGUUACAUCACUUUGCAAGAUUCAUACAGCUCAAUGUUCUGCCAUAUGCUGCCAUCACAGAACUGUAUAAUUUUUAUAAAAAAAAAAAAGCCUGUAUUUAUUAAAAAUUUGGGAGCACAUCUCCUAUGGGAGACUAUUAGAGAAGCACCAGUUUGGCUCCUAGCAGGCAAAGACAUCUGACCUCUUUGCGUGGAAAGAGACCUAUGUCACAAAUACUGACUGACAUGAAUGAAACUAUCAGAGACAGCUCAAGCCAAAAUGUGGUUUAUAAAACUUAACUGCUCAAAGACUGUACAUUCCCAGGCCCUUAUCAAUGAAUACUAACUCUGAACAUUAGCUCUGUAAGAAGCCAGGUUAUAAUCAGAAGGUUUACUGAUGAACACAGGACCAAAGCAAGAUAAAUUAAUUAAGGCUUGAAUACAUACAGGUGUUAAGCUAAAACCAGAAGAUCCACUAUUCCUACUCUGUUUCUAUCAGUAGGUAGACACCUAUCAGAGGCAAGACACAUUCUUGGGCCAUAGUAUAUUCUCUCUGCUGUCCUGGCCCUGCUAACCUUUCACCUACCACUCCUGGCUCUCCCUUUCUUGAAUGACCAGCACCCUUUGUAAUUUACAAAGUUCUCCUUUGGAAUUGCUGAUAUACUCAAUUAUAUUUCAGUCAAAUGUGGUUCUUACCUAGGAACCUUUCUAAAUCCUUCAAAGUGAUUACAUAUCUUUGCUUUAGUUUCUUUUAUGACUCUCACAAUUGGGACAAAAGGUAUUCAAAGUUCCCAUCAUUUACUGGCAAGAAAGAAAUGCAGAAGAGUUCAUUUGGGUAGUGUUAAAGUAAUUUAAAACAGAAACCUUUAGACUGAGGUGGCUCUAAUGCCUUGGUAGCCUACAUAAGCAAAUAAAACCUAAGCCAGGAUAAAAUUCCUAUAAAUGUCUCAAGGUUAAAAAAAAAAAAAUCGAAACCUAAGAACAACCAGUCAUAACAACCAACCACCUAGGUUUUUCCAAAUAAGGCAAUGGCUUAACCUACAGCCAAUCAAAUCAUUUCUUUGCACUGCUUCAUGUCUGCUCUGUAAAAACCUUUCCCCUGGCUUCUUUCCACAGAGCACUCCUAACCACCUUCAGUUUGGAGUUGCCCAAUUAGAAUCUGUUUGCUCAGAUAAGUUCUUAUAAAAUGUAAUGUGCCCCAGUUUAUCUUUAAACAGUUCAAACCUGGAAAAGGUCUACAAAUUUUAUCCAAAAACCAAUGGCUUUUAUGCAGACAAACUGUGCUAUCUGUUAAUAUUCACUACCAAGCCUACACGUGGAGAGAGAGGUAGAAUAUCUGAUUUCAUCCUCUUAAUAAUUAUGAGUAGAUUAUUACUAUGCCCAAUUCACAUUGAUAAACAUGCCCCAGAUCUCACAGCUAUGAAGUCAAAGAGCCCUUUCUAUACCAACUGAUUAUCCUGCUGUACUAUCUCAAGAGAAUUUCAAUGCUUUAUGUCUGGCGAUCUUUACAAACAAGGGGCUUGCUAAAAAAACAAACAAGAGUUGCUAAAAAAAUAGAUCUCUUUAAGUGUUCCCUCACUUUCCAACCUCCACCUCCCAAUCUUCUAACUGAUCUUCAAAAGGAAUAGACAAAGGGAAGGCAAGAGAGUGAAUGGGUCAGAGGUACCAAACGUUAUAAUGCUUCCCACAGCCUCUUCAAUACUACAAAAUCUCCUUACUUUCUACGUUCUUUCCCUAGUUCUUCUCACUAUACUUUUCAUUCCAGAUCUCACUAAGUCCAUGACAAAAGGAUGCCUAGGAAUAUGAGAUAAAAGACACAGAACUUAGCAACAGCAAUAACAGCUCUGCCCUUAAAACAGUCAAUAAACUAGGCAUAUACAGUUACUUGACGGUAAUAAACAAUAUGUUUACAUGAAACACCAAAAUCCAAUUUCAUUAAAAAUUUCAUGUUCCGAGAGGCAGCAUUUCCCUCUGGAAAGUACUAAUUGAGAAGAAAUGAGAUACUUUCUCUGAGCCUCAACUUUAUAUUUAUAAAAUGGGGCUAAGAAUGCAUAUCUUUAGCACUAUUUUGAGGACUUAAUGAUACAAUAAAUGUAUGUAAAGCAUUUAGGCACAUUACUUGGCACAAUGAUGAGGUACAAUAAAAUGAUGGUGGUUGUUGCUACCACAUAGCUUGGAAAAUUUAUGCUCUCACUUAAGUACACAAUGUUAUGAUGAUAAACCAUUAAGCCAGAAACAUGUGGUCCCUGAAUCCCAAAGACAGAUCUAAAGGACACCUGAAAAGUCCACUAAAACUAUUUCAGGUUACAGCAAAAAUCACAGAAAAUCAGAGAACAAGAGCAUGAGGUAUGAAGAUCACAAUAGAACUUCCAAGGACAAUACAAAGCAGAAUUAUUAAUUUCAUCAACCCUAGCUUUCCCCUGGGUGCCACUUCCAGAGUCCAUCCAAAGAGCCCAGUGACCCAAAGUAAACAGCACAGGGCUCCAAACUAAAAUACAUUUGAGCUGGAGUUCCUUUUGUGACUCAAUCGUAAUGAAUCUGACUAGUAUCCAUGAGGAUGUGGGUUCAAACCCUGGCCUCGCUCAGUGGGUCAAGGAUCUGGCAUUGCUGUGUGUUGUGGUGUAGGUCACAGACACAGCUCAGGUCUGACGUUGAUGUGGCUGUGGCUGUGGCAUUGGCUGGUGGUUACAGCUGCUAUUCCGCCACUAGCCUGGGAACUUCCAUAUGCUGCAGGUGUGGCCUUGAAAAGGAAAAAAUAAAAUAAAAUAAAAAAAUAAAAGAUAUCUGAGCUACAAGUUCUACCUCCCUUCUCUCAUCCUUUGUUCCGUUACCUUAGCAUUCUGUUCCAUACUAAUCAUUAAUAAAUUUAGUUAGAAAAAUCACUGCUAAGGGU
ensembl:lncRNA